UAGGGAAUCUUCCGCAAUGGACGAAAGUCUGACGGAGCAACGCCGCGUGAGUGAAGAAGGAUUUCGGUUCGUAAAACUCUGUUGUUAGGGAAGAAAAAAUGUAUAGUAACUAUAUACAAAAGAGACGGUACCUAACCAGAAAGCCACGGCUAACUACGUGCCAGCAGCCGCGGUAAUACGUAGGUGGCAAGCGUUGUCCGGAAUUAUUGGGCGUAAAGCGCGCGCAGGUGGUUUAGAAAGUCUGACGUGAAAGCCCACGGCUCAACCGUGGAGGGUCAUUGGAAACUAAUAAACUUGAGUGCAGGAGAGAAAAGUGGAAUUCCUAGUGUAGCGGUGAAAUGCGUAGAGAUUAGGAGGAACACCGGUGGCGAAAGCGGCUUUUUGGCCUGCAACUGACACUGAGGCGCGAAAGCGUGGGGAGCAAACAGG
rnacentral:rRNA from 1 species